UUCCGCUGACGACCGGCGCACGGGUGCGUAACGCGUAUGCAACCUACCUCAUACUGGAGAAUAGCCCUUGGAAACGAGGAUUAAUGCUCCAUAGUAUCACAGAUUCGCAUGUUUUUGUGAUUAAAGAAUUUCGGUAUGAGAUGGGCAUGCGUCCCAUUAGCUUGUUGGUGAGGUAACGGCUCACCAAGGCAACGAUGGGUAGGGGGCCUGAGAGGGUGACCCCCCACACUGGUACUGAGACACGGACCAGACUCCUACGGGAGGCAGCAGUGAGGAAUAUUGGGCAAUGGAGGCAACUCUGACCCAGCCAUGCCGCGUGAAGGAUGACUGCCCUAUGGGUUGUAAACUUCUUUUAUAUGGGAAGAAACUUAUCUACGUGUAGAUAACUGACGGUACCAUACGAAUAAGGAUCGGCUAACUCCGUGCCAGCAGCCGCGGUAAUACGGAGGGGGCUAGCGUUGUUCGGAAUUACUGGGCGUAAAGCGUACGUAGGCGGAUCAGAAAGUAUGGGGUGAAAUCCCAGGGCUUAACCCUGGAACUGCCUCAUAAACUCCUGGUCUUGAGUUCGAGAGAGGUGAGUGGAAUUCCAAGUGUAGAGGUGAAAUUCGUAGAUAUUUGGAGGAACACCAGUGGCGAAGGCGGCUCACUGGCUCGAUACUGACGCUGAGGUACGAAAGUGUGGGGAGCAAACAGGAUUAG
rnacentral:rRNA from 1 species